AUAUUUAAUAAUUUGUAUAUUAAAGUUACAAUUUAAUUUAAUAAAUCAAAUAUAUUUUUUUAGAGAUAAUUAUUGUUGGCCUAAAUGGGUCAGUAUCCUGCCCUAUGGCGAGAGUUCAGAUUGGGCCGAAUCAUAUUCGAAGUGGCGUGAAGCUGAUUGGGCCGAGUAACAAUCGAAACUCGUGGGUGCUAUUUAUAUAUGUACUUUAAGUGAAUUAGUUGUAUAUUUCUAAUAACUCAAGCUUUUGAGAUUAAUGAUUAGUACAAACGAUCCGACAAGUAGUAUUAAAGAUAACUAUUAUUUUUUAGAGAUAACUAUUACUAAG
rnacentral:lncRNA from 1 species